rnacentral:rRNA from 1 species
CGGAGGGAAACCGAGUCUUAACCGGGCGUUAAGUUGCAGGGUAUAGACCCGAAACCCGGUGAUCUAGCCAUGGGCAGGUUGAAGGUUGGGUAACACUAACUGGAGGACCGAACCGACUAAUGUUGAAAAAUUAGCGGAUGACCUGUGGCUGGGGGUGAAAGGCCAAUCAAACCGGGAGAUAGCUGGUUCUCCCCGAAAGCUAUUUAGGUAGCGCCUCGUGAAUUCAUCUCCGGGGGUAGAGCACUGUUUCGGCUAGGGGGCCAUCCCGGCUUACCAACCCGAUGCAAACUGCGAAUACCGGAGAAUGUUAUCACGGGAGACACACGGCGGGUGCUAACGUCCGUCGUGAAGAGGGAAACAACCCAGACCGC